AGUCUGGCAGCAGAGGGGAUGCUGCCAGUUUCUUCUUCUGUUAUCUUCGUCCCAGAAGGGUACCCACCAGAUCUCAGCCUGAGCUCUUCUUUACAAGUGCCUCUUUGGAUAUACAGGGGUCAGGGAGCUGCUUGACGAGACAGUCUGUACCUUAUAGGAGCUCAAGUGAUGAGCUAGGAGCUGCAUUUUUCCAUUUACAGCUUCUGGGCAGGUAUAUUUAAGCCUGCUGCAGUGGAACUCAUAAGCGCCUUUUUCCCCUGGUGCUCUGUCCUGGGAAGUUGGGGCUUUAUUUAUAAGUUCCUGAUGUGCUGCUGCCUUUUUGCAGAGAUGCCCUGCCAGCAAGGUGGUAGUCUAGCCACAGUCUUCCAGCAGAGGCAUUACUGAGCUGCUGUGGGCUCUGCCAAGCUGCUGUGUGAACUUCCUGUUAGAGCUGCCUCAGUAACCGUGGACUGCCUCAGUAAUGGUGGACUGCCUCAGUAAAGGCGGAUUGCCUCAGUAAUGGUGGACUGCCUCGGUAAUGGUGGACUGCCUCAGUAGUGGUGAACUGCCUAGGUAAUGGCUGACGCCCUUCCCUCCACCAAGCUGGACUGUCCUGGGUCUAUCUGCGCUUGCUACGAAACUCCCAUUCCAGAGCGUUUCAGA